rnacentral:lncRNA from 1 species
GGAGAAGAAGACCUUUUUUGUUUCUGGGUUGUGGGUAUUUUUUAAUUUAUGAUUUUUUUUUUUUUUAAUUUAUGAAUGAUUUGGCUACUAUAUGCCCAAUCGCUGUUUGGGGGGCAUGAAUGCCCCAAACUUGUUCUGGUCCUUGGAUGUAAACAAUGAAUCUCAACCAUUCCAUGGAAAGUGCCAUUCCCGGUUGUGACCGGUUCCAACAGGUUGGGCUUUUUCAAUCCCCAAGGCAACAAAAACCCUCUGUUCACCCAGACUUGAUGCUUCCCAUUCUCUCUCCUCCACCUCAAAGCUGCACCAAGCAGUCCCUCUCUUUCUCGGUCCACGGCUUUGCUAAGACAAAAAUAUUUUAAGUAUCCAUAAUUUAAAAGUAAAAUUUCUAUCAUCAAAGCACAAGUAUGUGCUGUUAGGGGUUGUUUGGCUACCGGAUUGGGAGGAAAAAUAAUUUUUUUUUUUGGAUAAUUUUUUCUCCCCUAUGUUUGGCUGGCGGAUAAUUUAUGGCCCCGAAUAAUUUAUGCCCCUAGAGGUGGAUAGAGGCGAAUAAUUUUUGGGUGGCCUAGAUCCUAACUAAAAAUUAUCCGGGGAUAAAAGGGUGGGGAUAAGAAAAAAAUAUAUAAAGAUAAACCAAAUGUAUAAUUUUAUAUAUAGAGAGAGAGAAAUACAAGAUAUUUUUUAAUAUCUAAAUAUUUUAUAUUUUUGUUCUCUUUAAUAUAUUUUUUUCUUAUCCCCACUUUUAUCCAUACAUUCCUAAAAAGUAUCUAAACAGGUUAAAAUUAUUCCCUUCCAAAGUUAUCCCCCUCUAAAAUUUAUUCCCUUCCAUAUCCUCCUGCUAAACGGCCCUUGAGGGGCAAGGUUUCUCACAAUAGCACCCUGUUUGGCGGAAGGAGAUGGUCUGGAUUUGGCCAUCUCUUGAUUUUCCUUCCUCUCCCUUCUCCCCGUCUCCAUGGUUUGGCUACCAUUUUUCUCUCCAUGAUUUCUCCUCCGAUCGGACUACAAUCCAUCCACGGCUGAGAUGGGACGGACAGGGGUUCCCCCUUUCCGGGUCACACGGCCUCCGCUUGGUGGUGAAAAUACUAGUUUUGCCCUCUGCUGGAAAAAGACAGGGACUGGGGAAGCUCGUGCUGGGGAGAAGGGAAGAAGAACAGGGACAGAGACUCACAAGGCCUCUCUCUCUAGGCUUUAAUCAAAUUGGGGAGAAAGAACGGGGGGUUUGAGGAUUUAUACUUUGGGUACUUACACUGACCUCCCCUGAGGUUAUAGAUUAAUAUACAAGAAUCUUAAUGUUAAAAAAAUUAUAAUUACCUCCCCUGAAAUUUUAAAACUUAUAAUAGAUUUCCUCAAUUUAACCCCCCAAAAAAUAUUUUUUAAAUUCUAAUUAAUAUUUAAAUUUAUUUUUUUACUUGAUGUUGAUUUUAUUUUUUAUUUAUUUGGGUUUCGCAGAAAUCGGGUACCAAAAAAUCGUGUACCACUUUUUGGGAGUAACUAAUUUUGGUUAAAAAUUUAAACUAUUUUUAUUAUUUUUUUUUUGAUUUAUUAAUUUAUAACUUACUAAAUUAGAGAGAAAUGCUAGAUGACCGAAUUGGGGUGUCGGCACACACCAAUUUGAAUUUCUACCUAAUAAUUACUAUAUGUUAGAUUUUGAAUAUUUCAUCAAAAUAAAAAUUGAAUGAUAUAUUUUUAAAUUUAUAUUAAUAUUUAAAGGAAAAAUUUUUUAUUUUAAUUAUCUAAAUAUUAAUGAUAUAAUUUUAUCUAAUUAAAAAAAUUAUAUUCACAUAACACUUAAUUAAUGAAGUGGGGGUCAUAUUGUCUUUUAACUCUUAAUCCCAUCAUAUUCACAACUUCUAAUCCCCUUUCUCCACAACACAUCCAAACACCAAACUACAAUCCACCCUUCUUAAAUGUGGGUCCCCCCUUAUUAUAAAUCAUCCCUCACUUUAAAUCCAUCCUAAUUCCAAAUCCACCAAAAUCAUCUUCGACCGCCAAACGGGUUGUAGAUGUUUUAACUUAUGUUAGAUUAUUCAAAUUGAACAAUGUAACAGUGACGAUGACAGUAUCGUUGCAGUAGAGAUAUUGGUGUUGCAGUUGGUGUCAGUAGUAGUAAGAUCAUAAACGCAGGUUUCCUUCACACCUUUUUAUAAGUUCUUUCUCUCUUUUUGUUACAAUUUUUUUGUGUAAUUUUGUAUAAUCCAAUGUGUAAGUAAUACUCCAAUAAAGAGUAAAAAUAAUCACUAUUAAGUGGUAAGUUUUCUCACAAAAAUAUUAACUUGUGUUAGAUUACUCAAGACGAAUUUUUUUUAUCAUGAUAUAUAAAAUUUUACCUUUUCACAAAAUUCUUUUACAACAAAUUAAGAAAUGCUAAACACAAAUUUUGUUUGAUGACACACUUGUAAGUUGUGUAAUUGACGAGAUUUUAUGAACACAUUGUCCCCCUUUAAAUGUAUGUUGGUAGUUAAGUACUCAAGCAUAAGCAUUGAAGAUAUUUGUUAUCAAGCAAUUGAAGGAUUGUUUAAGUAUAUAAUGCAAACUCGGCUAGAAACUUGUAUGAUUCAGAAAGAAUUUUCACCCUGCAAGUUCAAACUUAAUUUUGAUCAGUUAGAUAUUGAUUCAGCCAAUUCUAUUAAGAUAAAGUUGUAGCUCUAGAUUGUCUUCUUUUCAACUCAUCACAAAUUAGCCAAUCGAAUAUCGUAGUAAAAAAUUUAUGGCCAAAAACUGAGAGCUAUACGAGCUCGCGGGAUGUCGCCGGACGUUGCGGCCUGCAACUUUCAGCUUGAUUUUGGAUAUCUUAGAGAUCGAUUCAGGCAAUUCUCAUUAGAGGUAAAGUUGUAGUUCUUGAAGUUUUCUUUCCAAACACUAAAAAUCAGCUCAAUCGGACAUCGGAAUAAAAAGUUAUGGACUUCGCGGAUUAUCGCGGGUAUCUCGCGAUAUGUUCGUGGAAAAAUAUUGAGAGCUAUUUUUUGCCACAGACUUCCCGGAAUUUCGCGAGAUCUACAGUACCCGCGAGACUCAAAAAUCUGCAACAUCGAAUUUUGCAUUUUUUAGUGUUUGUACUGAUAUUAAAGGUCCAACACACUUCCAAACAGGAAGAGACCACCGUUAUCAAUAUACUCAAGAUAACAUUAUUCUCUACCUUCCAGAGAGCUUUAUAAACGAAUCUUUAGCAAAAUCUUCAUCACUAUAUUGAGAAACCGAAUCCUUAAAGAGUUCAGGGUUGAAUCCGUUCUAAGGGGAUCUAAACGGUGAACCGAAAUCUUUGAAGGAGUUCAAGUGUGAAAUCCGUUCUAAGGAGAAUCUGAACGUGAUCACAGCACGGAGACAAAUAAUCGUGGAUACGAGUUAGUCUACACAAUCAUUAGAUUCUGGAGUUGAUGGGGUUUUUGAUUGUCAGAUUUUGUAACCGUCUAAUCCUCGGGUUAUAGUGCAUGAAUCUUUUUGUCCAGAGAUGGGGACACAUGGUUUUUUCUGUUCUCACCAUUCAAGGGUUUUUUACAGUAAAAUUAUUGGGUUCUUUCUUGAUAAUUAUUUUGCUUCUUGUUAUGUCUUGGAUCGUUCAAUUUACUCAUAGUCAACAUAUUUUUGAUUUAAUAUUGUAAUUUUAGAUCCUUGGUUAAUCCAUAGACAAAAGCCUUGGGUUUUUUAAUUAGUAUCAGAGCGAGACACUCAAAAAUUUUUAAUUUUUGAAAGAGUGAGAUCCUAAUAGUCUAAAAUCUAUGGAUUUUCCUAGAGAAGGUAGUUCUAUUUUUUGACCUCCAUUGCUUGAUGAAGAUAUAAAUGAAUUGCAGCAAGCCGAUAAUCAACUGUACAAACAGUCAUACAAGCUUGUUAAUUCAAAUGUGAAAUUGGGUAAGAAAUUGAAAGAGGCUCAAGAAGAAAUUGACUCUUUGAAAAAGAUGAAUGAGGAUGCUCAAGCUGAAAUUAAUCAAUUGAAAACUCACCGAUUAAUUUUAUCGGAUAAAGUUAAGUUUUUUGUAAAAGAUGCACAUGAUCGAGAGGGGUUCAAAAGGGCACUUGAAAAUAAGGUGCAAAAGCUUGAAACUAAACUUGCCAAUACUCAUCUGUAUUUCAAGAAAUUUGAUGUAGGUUUAUAAAAGAUUGAUGAGAUUUGGAAUGCACAAACAAUCUCUUUUGACAUGAUAGGAAUUGGAUACACAAAAAAGCAACUACACCUUCUCAACCGGCAAGUAAACCUAAUUCUACGGAGACUCAAGGUAAGUCUUUCAUACCAAAUAAGACUAAGCAUGUCAAGGCUGCUAUGUUUGUUCCUACAUGUCAUCAAUGUGGCGUUAAAGGUCAUAUUCGGCCUCAUUGUCCUAGAUUGGAGACUAAGUAUGUGCAUUCUCAAUUCAUCACCUCUCGUGUGAAACCCAAACAUUCUAAGGAUACUCAAUCUUUAAUUGGGUGUGUUAUGGGCACUCAGGAUGGGGUGGCCUUAUAAAUUCUUUGUUCACUCCAAAUUCCUUUAAAUUAGGCGGGCGGUACUAUAGCGGGGUAAAAUAAUAAAUUUACUUGCAUAGAGGACCUUCUUGGUCAACUGUUUCACCAACGAGACUUAGUUGCAAAUGAGGCUCCGUUUGGUAAUGCUUAAAAAUUAAGUUUUUUAAAUUUGUUAUAAAAAAAGUUAAAAAAAUUUAUUUUUUUUUGCUUUUCUGACUUUAAUUUAACUAAAAAUAAAUAAAAAAAUAAAAAUAAAAAGGCAAAAAAAACUAACUCUAGCUAACUUUUUGCUUAUAAGUUUAAAAAAAGACAAUCAAAAAGCUGAUACCAAACACAGCCUGAGCCCUACAAAAAUGUGGCUAUAGUUAUCCCAAUUUGUUUUUAUUAAAAAUGAAAAAAAAUAAAAACCCAAAAUAAUUAAUAAAUUAAAAAAAAAUCUAAGCCAAACAAACAAGGCUUAAGAAACUAAAUACUAAGAGAAAAUUGAAUUUGAGAGAGAGAGAGCGCGCUGAAGAGAGGGGGGACCCACAGUUGUCUGGGUUCGUGCAGGUCAAUGUGGUUAU